rfam:Tetrasphaera sp. Soil756 contig_7, whole genome shotgun sequence.
GGAGCUCCACCCUUUACAACGGAUCGUCCGGCACGUUCCUGCCGGUGAAGGAAAGGCAAA